AACUGGAGCUUGCUCCAGGGAUUAGUGGCGAACGGGUGAGUAACACGUGAGUAACCUGCCCUUGACUCUGGGAUAAGCGCUGGAAACGGCGUCUAAUACCGGAUACGAGCUUCAGCCGCAUGGCUAGGAGUUGGAAAGAAUUUCGGUCAAGGAUGGACUCGCGGCCUAUCAGCUAGUUGGUGAGGUAAUGGCUCACCAAGGCGACGACGGGUAGCCGGCCUGAGAGGGUGACCGGCCACACUGGGACUGAGACACGGCCCAGACUCCUACGGGAGGCAGCAGUGGGGAAUAUUGCACAAUGGGCGCAAGCCUGAUGCAGCAACGCCGCGUGAGGGAUGACGGCCUUCGGGUUGUAAACCUCUUUUAGUAGGGAAGAAGCGAAAGUGACGGUACCUGCAGAAAAAGCACCGGCUAACUACGUGCCAGCAGCCGCGGUAAUACGUAGGGUGCAAGCGUUGUCCGGAAUUAUUGGGCGUAAAGAGCUCGUAGGCGGUUUGUCGCGUCUGCUGUGAAAUCUGGGGGCUCAACCCCCAGCCUGCAGUGGGUACGGGCAGACUAGAGUGCGGUAGGGGAGAUUGGAAUUCCUGGUGUAGCGGUGGAAUGCGCAGAUAUCAGGAGGAACACCGAUGGC
rnacentral:rRNA from 1 species